CAACAAUAUAAACCUGUUUCUGGGCUUGCAAACAUAAAGGUAUGUGACUGCUUGGAUUGACUGACAAGAAGGAAACUCCUGCCAUAUUCUAUUGUUUAGUAAUUGUGGGUCAAGAAACUGUACUUUAGAAUUCAGCAUGCCCCCUGUUACUAAAACUAGGUAUUGUCAACUGAUGCACUCAGCUUAUCAGAUCAAUCCAAAUAUGGACAAUAUCUGUAUUGCUAAAGGCCAGCAGCCAGCCGAGUCACCAAUUGUUUAGGUCAACAUGUUUAAAAUAGUUUGAUCCAGAUUAGGAGAACACCAUAACUUCUACAAUGGCAAGUAAUGGUUAUCAGUGUUCCCUCUAAGGUGUGUGCUUGUGCAGGUAGACAUCUUUUUGAGGAAGCGCACACAUGGUAAGAAUUGUUGCAAAGUUUUUUUGACAUAAAAAAAUGUAUCACCCGUCGGCAGGGCCGAGCCUGGGCAGUACAUGUGUUGCAUCACAACCAGGUGCCAGAAGGUGGGAGGCGCUGCGAGGAGCGAGCCAAUGGCCUGUCAAAGAGGGCCAAGGAAAUGGCCAGC